AUUGAACGCUGGCGGCAGGCCUAACACAUGCAAGUCGAGCGGUAACAGGAAGUAGCUUGCUACUUUGCUGACGAGCGGCGGACGGGUGAGUAAUGCUUGGGAACUUGCCUUUGGGAGGGGGAUAACCGCUGGAAACGGUGGCUAAUACCGCAUGAUGUUUACGAACCAAAGUGGGGGCUCUUCGGACCUCACGCCCAGAGAUAGGCCCAAGUGAGAUUAGCUAGUUGGUGAGGUAAAGGCUCACCAAGGCGACGAUCUCUAGCUGUUCUGAGAGGAUGAUCAGCCACACUGGGACUGAGACACGGCCCAGACUCCUAUGGGAGGCAGCAGUGGGGAAUAUUGGACAAUGGGGGCAACCCUGAUCCAGCCAUGCCGCGUGUGUGAAGAAGGCCUUCGGGUUGUAAAGCACUUUCAGUGGUGAGGAAGGCCUGUUGGUUAAUACCCAACAGGA
rnacentral:rRNA from 1 species